rnacentral:lncRNA from 1 species
UAUUUUCUGUUCAUCUUCGUCAUCUUCUGAGCAUGAAUAUGAACUGCUUGUUGGGGACUUGAAGUCACUUGUUGCUGUUCUCGCCAUGAAACUAAACGCAGUCAAAUCACAGUUUUGUCGUCAACAAUCAACGCGUUUGUGGGUGACUGUCAUUUCACAUGCAAGGCUUGACUCAGAGAUCACGGAUGCUGCAAGCUUCGAGACUCUGCUUGAUCUCGAAAUGAGUUGCGCUAAUCGCACGAUUUCAAUGUUCAUGUGUUCGGACAGCACCUGAUGUGUUUGAUUCAUGGGAACUUGUCGCGUUGC